AAGAGAAGCCAUUAACCAGCCUCUCCUCUGUAAAACUGCUGCCACCAUUUUUAAAAAUGUUUAAGCUGAUGACCAUGGAGACAUUUACCCUGGCCGUCAAUUCCAUGAAGUGGUCCAGUGUGUUUCCCUGGACACAACAGCGAAGAAAGCGACAGAGCUGGAAAGCACCUGGCCUGAGUGUCCAAGGGAGCAUCAAGCCACGGAUUGUGCUUCUCACUUCCUGAGCUCUCUUCUCAGAGAUCUGGCUGUCACAACAUCAAGACAAACCUUUGUCCAACCACACAGGAAUUUUUUCUGGAGAAGUUGAGCUCUAGCUC